rnacentral:rRNA from 1 species
AAACAUUGGGUAUGAUCUUGGCCCUGCUAUAGCGCGUGCAGAAUGUCUAACACAUGCAAGUUUUUCGCUUCUGUUUUAGUGCGCAUUCGCUCCGCGAGCGCGCACUAUACAAAAUGAUAUGCGUACGGGUGCGUAAGAACCGAGGAUUUGGUACAGCUCUUCAUAACGAAGAAGAAGCGGUAUGCUGUCUUUCGGUUUGGAUUAGGUAGUUGGGUUGCGCAGCAGCAGAAGCGAAACGCGCGCAAAUGCUACCCAAGCCAAAGAUCCAUAGCCUUCCUGACCGGGGGAAAGGCCACAGUGGGACUGGAACACGGCCCAUCCGCACAAAAAGAACAGCGGCAGCAGUGAAGAAUAUUUGACAAUGGGCGAAAGCCUGAUCAUGCAUUUCUGCUUUUGGUAUGUGAUAACCCAGAUCACACCACCUUUUUGGCUGGAGAAGGCAAAUCGUCGUAACCCAUAUUUCUUUUUAUACUAUAUAGCGAUUCUCCGUAACUGCUCUGCACCCAGACAAGAAGCGGAGAAGAGAGCAAGCAAUAUAAAAAAGAAAAUCCCUGGCAAACUCUGUGCCAGCCGCCGCGGUAACACAGGGAGGGAGAGUGUUUAGCAUAUGGACUAGGUAUAAAGCGUAGGUAGGCGGGUGCGCAAAGAAGCCUUCGUCAGAGUUCUUUAAAAGAACUAGCGACUAUUCGUGCAAGUCCUGGAAGAAUAGUAUGGGUGGGGGAAUGGCCCAAGUAUCGGUAGAAUGAAAGCAUAUGGGUUGGAACUUCUAAAGCGAAGGCACCCACCUAACUAUUUCUUGACGCUGAGCUACGGAAGUGUGGAGAACAAAUGAGAUUAGAGACCUCAGUAGCCCACACCGUCAACUAUGAAUGACGUACUGUUGGCUUCGCCAAUACGAAGAAUACGUGUAAGAAGCGCACAGUAUAUGCCAAGCGCAUAACCAUUCCACCUGGGGAGUACUGUCGCAAGGCAGAAACUCAAAAGUAUUGACUGCUAGAGAGUUCAAUGCUGGAACAUUGGGGUUUAAUUGAAUGCAACGUCUAAAACCUUACCAAUUUUUGUAUG